rnacentral:rRNA from 1 species
CCUACGGGAGGCAGCAGUAGGGAAUCUUCGGCAAUGGACGGAAGUCUGACCGAGCAACGCCGCGUGAGUGAAGAAGGUUUUCGGAUCGUAAAGCUCUGUUGUAAGGGAAGAACGAGUGUGAGAGUGGAAAGUUCACACUGUGACGGUAUCUUACCAGAAAGGGACGGCUAACUACGUGCCAGCAGCCGCGGUAAU